rnacentral:rRNA from 1 species
CAGUAGCCGCGGUAAUACGUAGGGUGCGAGCGUUAAUCGGAAUUACUGGGCGUAAAGCGUGCGCAGGCGGUUAUAUAAGACAGAUGUGAAAUCCCCGGGCUCAACCUGGGACCUGCAUUUGUGACUGUAUAGCUAGAGUACGGUAGAGGGGGAUGGAAUUCCGCGUGUAGCAGUGAAAUGCGUAGAUAUGCGGAGGAACACCGAUGGCGAAGGCAAUCCCCUGGACCUGUACUGACGCUCAUGCACGAAAGCGUGGGGAGCAAACAGGAUUAGAUACCCCAGUAGUCCCUGUCUCUUAUAC